rnacentral:rRNA from 1 species
UACGUAGGUGGCAAGCGUUGUCCGGAUUUACUGGGCGUAAAGCGAACGCAGGCGGACUGUUAAGUAGGAAGUGAAAAGGUCGGAGCUCAACUCCAACAUUGCUUCCUAUACUGGCAGUCUUGAGUAGCGGAGAGGAAGGGGGAACGGACACGUGUAGCGGUGAAAUGCGUUGAUAUGUGUCGGAACACCCAUGGCGAAAGCACCCUUACUGGACCGUCGAAACUAAGCGGCUCAGGUUCGAAAGCUAAGGUAAG